GAUGAACGCUGGCGGCGUGCCUAAUACAUGCAAGUCGAGCGAACAGACGAGGAGCUUGCUCCUCUGACGUUAGCGGCGGACGGGUGAGUAACACGUGGAUAACCUACCUAUAAGACUGGGAUAACUUCGGGAAACCGGAGCUAAUACCGGAUAAUAUAUUGAACCGCAUGGUUCAAUAGUGGAAGACGGUUUUGCUGUCACUUAUAGAUGGAUCCGCGCCGCAUUAGCUAGUUGGUAAGGUAACGGCUUACCAAGGCAACGAUGCGUAGCCGACCUGAGAGGGUGAUCGGCCACACUGGAACUGAGACACGGUCCAGACUCCUACGGGAGGCAGCAGUAGGGAAUCUUCCGCAAUGGGCGAAAGCUUGACGGAGCAACGCCGCGUGAGUGAUGAAGGUCUUCGGAUCGUAAAACUCUGUUAUUAGGGAAGAACAAAUGUGUAAGUAACUAUGCACGUCUUGACGGUACCUAAUCAGAAAGCCACGGCUAACUACGUG
rnacentral:rRNA from 1 species